rnacentral:rRNA from 1 species
GUGAACGCUGGCGGCGUGCUUAACACAUGCAAGUCGAACGGUAGCAGAAACUAGCUUGCUAGUUUGCUGACGAGUGGCGCACGGGUGAGUAAACUAUAGUUAAUGUACCCCAAAGACUGGGAUAGCCACUGGAAACGGUGAUUAAUACUAGAUACACCUUCUUAUCAUAAGGUAAGAAGGGAAAUGUCUUUUCGCUUUGGGAUCAGACUAUAUCCUAUCAGCUAGUUGGUGAGGUAAUGGCUCACCAAGGCAAUGACGGGUAGCGGUUCUGAGAGGAUGAUCCGCCACACUGGUACUGAGACACGGACCAGACUCCUACGGGAGGCAGCAGUGAGGAAUAUUGCACAAUGGGCGAAAGCCUGAUGCAGCAACGCCGCGUGGAGGAUGACGCAUUUCGGUGCGUAAACUCCUUUUAAGAGGGAAGAUAAUGACGGUACCUCUUGAAUAAGCACCGGCUAACUCCGU